rnacentral:rRNA from 1 species
UGGGGAAUAUUCCACAAUGGGCGCAAGCCUGAUGCAGCCAUGCCGCGUGUAUGAAGAAGGCCUUCGGGUUGUAAAGUACUUUCAGCGGGGAGGAAGGCGAUAAGGUUAAUAACCUUGUCGAUUGACGUUACCCGCAGAAGAAGCACCGGCUAACUCCGUGCCAGCAGCCGCGGUAAUACGGAGGGUGCAAGCGCUAAUCGGAAUUACUGGGCGUAAAGCGCACGCAGGCGGUCUGUCAAGUCGGAUGUGAAAUCCCCGGGCUCAACCUGGGAACUGCAUUCGAAACUGGCAGGCUAGAGUCUUGUAGAGGGGGGUAGAAUUCCAGGUGUAGCGGUGAAAUGCGUAGAGAUCUGGAGGAAUACCGGUGGCGAAGGCGGCCCCCUGGACAAAGACUGACGCUCAGGUGCGAAAGCGUGGGGAGCAAACA